AUUGAACGCUGGCGGCAUGCCUUACACAUGCAAGUCGAACGGUAACAGGUUAAGCUGACGAGUGGCGAACGGGUGAGUAAUGUAUCGGAACGUGCCCAGUUGUGGGGGAUAACUGCUCGAAAGAGCAGCUAAUACCGCAUACGACCUGAGGGUGAAAGCGGGGGAUCGCAAGACCUCGCGCAAUUGGAGCGGCCGAUAUCAGAUUAGGUAGUUGGUGGGGUAAAGGCUCACCAAGCCGACGAUCUGUAGCUGGUCUGAGAGGACGACCAGCCACACUGGGACUGAGACACGGCCCAGACUCCUACGGGAGGCAGCAGUGGGGAAUUUUGGACAAUGGGCGCAAGCCUGAUCCAGCCAUGCCGCGUGCGGGAAGAAGGCCUUCGGGUUGUAAACCGCUUUUGUCAGGGAAGAAACGCUCUGGGUUAAUACCCUGGGGUAAUGACGGUACCUGAAGAAUAAGCACCGGCUAACUACGUGCCAGCAGCCGCCUAA
rnacentral:rRNA from 1 species